rnacentral:pre_miRNA from 1 species
CUGACUGCCUGUCUGUCUGGGUAAUCGCUCUAGACCAUGUGAUGUCGCAUGCUGCAGCGCUCAUGACUAGAGAGUUUACUCAUCCAGAGAGUAGUCUC